rnacentral:rRNA from 1 species
AUUGAACGCUGGCGGCAUGCUUUACACAUGCAAGUCGAACGGUAACAGGUUAAGCUGACGAGUGGCGAACGGGUGAGUAAUGCAUCGGAACGUGCCCGGUCGUGGGGGAUAACGCAGCGAAAGCUGCGCUAAUACCGCAUACGAUCUGGGGAUGAAAGCGGGGGACCGUAAGGCCUCGCGCGAUCGGAGCGGCCGAUGUCAGAUUAGGUAGUUGGUGGGGUAAAGGCCUACCAAGCCGACGAGCUGUAGCUGGUCUGAGAGGACGACCAGCCGCACUGGGACUGCGACACGGCCCAGACUCCUACGGGAGGCAGCAGUGGGGAAUUUUGGACAAUGGGCGCAAGCCUGAUCCAGCAAUGCCGAGUGCAGGAAGAAGGCCUUCGGGUUGUAAACUGCUUUUGUACGGAGCGAAAAGGCUCUCUCUAAUACAGGGGGUUCAUGACGGUACCGUAAGAAUAAGCACCGGCUAACUACGUGCCAGCAGCCGCAGUAAUAC